UGGUAAGUAGUUUAAAUAAAAUAAAUGAUUUCGACUCAUUAGAUUAUGAUAACCAUACUAACCAA
ensembl:Mt_tRNA